AGGGGAUCCCCAGUGCGAGGGCAUACAGUCCUCGCUUUCACCACCGUACGAUGGUGGUGGAACAAGAACUGGGCAAGACCGGUGCCAGCCGCCGCGGUAAUACCGGCAGUUCGAGUGAUGGCCGUUCUUAUUGGGCUAAAGCGUCCGUAGCCGGCCACGCAAGUUCGUCGGGAAAUCCACAUGCUCAACAUGUGGGCGUCCGGCGAAACCUGCGUGGCUUGGGACCAGACGACCCANNGGGUACGGCCGGGGUAGGAGUGAAAUCCUGUAAUCCCGGCCGGACCACCGGUGGCGAAAGCGCUUUGGGAGGAUGGAUCCGACGGUGAGGGACGAAAGCCAAGGUCACGAACCGGAUUAGAUACCCGGGUAGUCUUGGCCGUAAACGAUGUCCGUUAGGUGCGGCGUAGGCUACGAGCCUGCGCUGUGCCGCAGUGAAGACGUUAAACGGACCGCCUGGGAAGUACGUCCGCAAGGAUGAAACUUAAAGGAAUUGGCGGGGGAGCACUACAACCGGAGGAGCCUGCGGUUUAAUUGGACUCAACGCCGGACAUCUCACCAGCAUCGACAAUGUGCAGUGACAGUCAGUGUGAUGAGCUUACUAGAGCCAUUGAGAGGAGGUGCAUGGCCGCCGUCAGCUCGUACCGUGAGGCAUCCUGUUAAGUCAGGCAACGAGCGAGACCCGCAUCCUUAAUUGCCAGCACUGGCGCGAGCCAGGUGGGUACAUUAGGGAGACUGCCGUGGCCAACACGGAGGAAGGAACGGGCAACGGUAGGUCAGUAUGCCCCGAAUGUGCUGGGCGACACGCGGGCUACAAUGGCCGAGACAGUGGGAUGCAACCCCGAAAGGGGGCGCUAAUCUCCGAAACUCGGUCGUAGUUCGGAUUGAGGGCUGAAACUCGCCCUCAUGAAGCUGGAUUCGGUAGUAAUCGCCACUCAGAAGGUGGCGGUGAAUACGUCCCUGCUCCUUGCACACACCGCCCGUCAAAUCACCCGAGUGGGGUCCGGAUGAG
rnacentral:rRNA from 1 species